GGGGAAUGGCCAUAGCUCAGUGGUACAGCUUCUGCUUUGCAAGCAAAAGGUCCCAGGAUCAAUCCCCGGUGUCUCCA